AUUCCAGCUCCAAUAGCGUAUAUUAAAGUUGUUGCAGUUAAAACGCUCGUAGUCGGAUUUCGGGGCGGGGCUUCCGGUCUGCCGUUGGGUAUGCACUGGAUGCCGCGUCCUUCCUUCCGGAGACCGUUCCUACUCUUAACUGAGCGGGGUCGGGAGACGGAUCUUUUACUUUGAAAAAAUCAGAGUGUUUCAAGCAGGCAUAUCGCUUUUGCAUGGAUUAGCAUGGGAUAAUGAAAUAGGACUUUGGUGCUAUUUUGUUGGUUUCGAACACCGAAGUAAUGAUUAACAGGGACAGUCAGGGGCACUAAUAUUCCGUUGAGAGAGGUGAAAUUCUUAGACCAGCGGAAGAUUAACCACUGCGAAAGCAUUUGCCAGGGAUGUUUUCAUCA
rnacentral:rRNA from 1 species